AUAUUAAACACAUGAAUAAAGCUACUAUAACUAAUACUAUCCCAGAUCUAGUAGUCCAAACAAAUACCAAAGCACAAUAUCCCUAAGCUAAGUGACAAUACAUACACGAGCUGAUUACCACAAACAGUCCAAGUCUACUUCUAAACGGUCUUAAUAACAUUCCAUAGUCUGCAUCAAUCUAAUUACACAUUCAGCAGCAAUUCAUGACAUUAAUGAUUAAACUAUCUAUAAUAUGAAUCAGUAGCACAGUUAAAUCAAAUUUAAGUUUCAAAUCUUCGCAUAUAUAUCAUGCUCAAUGUUUCUAUCUUAUAAAUUAGCGGGAUUACAGCUGUGUACCUGGAAUUUCGGAAUUAAGAAGAAGCAGAAUCAGUUAGCAUCAAACACCACGAGCAGAAAUCAAUGAGUCAGAACUUAGCUCAACAACCACAAAGAAUUUUAAAAUCAAACCACACCCAAGCAAACCACCACAAGUUACUUGAACACACUCGAAUGUAGUUGCAACUAUAUCAGAAACUACAAAACCUUUCAACUAACGAAAAUAAAUUACCAGCAAUCACCCAGAAUAACCUCCACUACCUUUGAUGCUACAAACACUCAGGUACAGAACAGAAAUGCAGAACACAAAUGCAGAAUCUGAAAAUUGACUGAAAUGGGCUAUAAAACAGUGAACAUUUUUUGGGUUUUCUAUUUUUGAGGUUAAUUUUUUGUAUUUUUGUAUAUUUGAAUUCAAAUGCUAAUCUCAAAAGGAAGAGAGCUUUUGGUGGCAAUUUUUAUGGCUGCAAGAGAAGACCCUUGAACAAGGCAAGAAAUGUGCUUUUUAUAGGCAAAGUGAAGGGCAUCCUAUAUUUAUUUUACCCAUUCGUCCUUCAACUUUUACAAAAUUAACCUUUUUAUUUUCCAACUUGUGACACAAGUUAGUACCUCUAUCUUUUGAAUUUCCCCUUAAAACCCCCACCUAGAAACUUCUACAAUGGUCUAUUUUAACCACUUUCAAGAUUCCCUAUGUGAAUUUCUUAUUCUGCCUUAAUCUUUCCCCUGAAUUACCCAAUUAAAUAAGUUAUACCCUCAAAGCCUUUUAUCCUAUCUGCCCCAAACCACCUGAAAAUUUCUGAAACUACUACCAGUAAUAAACCUGCCAACUAUAACCAACAACUAAUCUAAGUAAAAAUUAACUAAUAGCGACAAAGGAUUAUUGACUAAGACAAACACUAAUACAAAUCAAAACCAAAUAUUAACUAAACAAAAUUGAUUUAAAACAUAUUAAAAGAAAUUAAACCUAUGCUAAUGAACACUGAAUUGAACUAUAUAUCAAAGCAUAUUCGAACUAAAACCAAAAAUCCGCCAAACAGACUAAUCGAACCCAAAAUAAAAUUAAACUAAUCUAAUCAAAAAGGAAGAGAUAAAGAAACAGUAACAAGCAGAACAAAAACUAAAAAAAAUCACACAGAACCAAACGGAAAUCAAAAAUCAAGAAGAAAACUUAAAUAUUUCACUUCAGACUCGAUUGACCUUCAAAUUUGGUUUCGAGUUAAUGUUAUAUAUUUAUUUCGAAUGAAAUACACAUAUAACAUUAACUUAAAACCAAUAAAACCUUUAAAAUUCCCAAAAUAGCUUCGAUGUCCAAAACCCUAAAAUUUAAAAUUCGGGAUCUUCUAGUCAGAUUCGAGGGACGGUGGCUAUGGAUUUGAGUUGAGGGAAGUUAGGGGAAUCAUUGGUGUAAGUUUGGAGCGGUUUGGAAGAGGUGGGGUAGUGGCCGGAAAACCUUCCGACGAAGAUUCGAGGAGUUCUAGUGUGAUUUGAAGGAAACCAAGGGCGGGAAUGGGAAGAGGAUGAGCAAGGGAAUUUGUGGUGUGAAUUUGAGACGGAUUGGCGUAGGUGUGGUUCGCUGCUGGCGGUGGUUCUGGCGGCGUUUAAAGGAGAGUACGAGGAAGGAGGGCUGCUGUCUUUUAGGGUUAUUAAUUUUUCGGACAUUCUUAUAAUAAUCACAAAAAGACGCGGGCCAU
rnacentral:lncRNA from 1 species